CUUGACAUUACUGUACAAAACUAGAAAGUAAAAGACGACAUAAAAUGAAGAACAGACUCAAAACUUAAAAGUAAAACAAAUCUCCUCAAGCAACUCCUGACUGAGCGAUCCUGACCAGAUGGUCACAGGGUGUCUGUCAUGCUCAAACUUCGGUAAAUAAAUCCGCACCUGUAUGAGAAAACUUUAAAUCAACACUAUAUGAGACAAUAACACUCCCUACUGGACACAUGAAAGACAUGGUUGAGGCUAUUUUUGCAAACUGGCUUAUUUGGCCACAAGGUGGCUAGAAGUGCAAAAUUUGGCUAUGACCCCGCAAAGCCAAGAACCUAAGAUUUACUAGGAAGACCAGACCCUAUGUGGAUUGCCUACGUAUCACGCCCCGAAAGACGAGAAUCAGGUAUGCGUAGUUCAGACAGAUUUGAUACGAGCGAGAAUAAUAAAAAAUAAAUAAAAAAACGACUGACAUAUAGAAAACACAUUUUUUUUUGAAAAAUGAUAAAACAUAUAAAAUCUUUUUGGAUUUUUUUUUUGAUUUUCUGACUUUGAAAAAAAAUGAUAAAGAGUGCAAAAUCUUUUUGAAGUUUCCAUGCUUUUUUCUUAAUAAAAUGUAACAAAAUAUAGUUGGGCCCUACUCGCUUCAUCCUCACACUUCAGCCUUUUUUUCUCAUUUUUUUCUUUUUCUUUUUCAUUCGCCCUCAAUUAUCAUUGGUCCUCCAAAUGACCCUUUUACCCUUGAAAAAAUGCAACAUAUAACACAUAGGAUGCAUCAGGAUGGUCUAUUAUUUUGGGUACACCUGUCCUAGACGGACCCAACCCUGUGUUGANNNNNNNNNNNNNNNNNNNNNNNNNGACCCAACCCCUGUGUUGAGUCCCCAAAGUCAAAAGCACAUGAUGCAAGCAAACGUAAGGUUAAUUUUGGAAGAACCUAUGACCAGAAUCCAAAUUCCGGGGGCGGGGGGGGACACCCCAGGCCAAUUCGAGCCAUGCAAUCAAAGCUUCAUACUCUACUUCAUUAUUAGUUAGAGGAACAGUUUUUAUGGCCUGCCUUAGGGUUUCUCCCAAGGGCAUGGUUAACACUAUGCCGAGCCCGGACCCCUUCACAUUGGAAGCUCCAUGCGUGAACAUGGUCCAAACUCCUGAUGUCGAUUCUGACACCAUUACCGUUUCUUUGUUAGCCAAGGGUAAAAGUCCCGGACUGAAAUCAGCCACAAAGUCGGCCAAAACUUAUGACUUAAUCGCAGUCCUAGGUUUGUAUUCUAUAUCGAAUUCACUCAACUUGAUUGCCCACUUGGCAAGCCUACCUAAGUGUUCAGGUUUAUGAAGAAUAUUCCUCUAGGGAAAAAUGGUCGCCACAGCUAUCGGGCGACAACGGAAAUAAGGCCUUAACUUUCAAGUAGAAAAUUAGGAGGGCUAAGGCCAAAUUUUCCAGAUGUGGGAAGCGAGUUUCAGCUCCCGUUAAAAUUUUGGUUACGUAAUAAAUGGAAGAUUGCGUAUCUUUGUCCUUACAGACUAACACGACACUUACCGCUACCUCCGAGGCCGAUAAGUAGAUCAACAAUUGUUUGCCUUCCUCUAGUUUCAACAACAACGGAGGACUUGACAAAUACCUUUUCAAAUCCCUCAAAGCCUGCUGACAUUUUGGAGUCCGUUCGAAGUUGUUCUUCUUUUUGAGUAGUGAAAAUAAAUGAUGGCAUUUCUCCGAAGACAUGGAAAUGAAUCCCUAUCAACCUUUGAACCUCUUUCAUGCUUGAUAGCUAGUCCGAGAAGUCUUCGAUGGCUUUGAUUUUUGUCGGGGUUAACCUCGAUUCCUCUUUGUGACACCAGGAAUCCCAGAAACUUACUGGAGUUGACCGCAAAGGCACACCUUUUAGGGGUUGAGUUUCAUGUUAUACUUCCUUAAGAUGUCAAAGGUUUCUUUCAAGUGUUUAAGAUGUUCACCUACAUUCAAAGACUUAACUAGCAUAUCAUCUAUGUAAACCUUAAUAGUUUUCCCUAUUUGUUUCCCAAACAUUUUGUUCAUGAGCCUUUGAUAGGUGGCUCCGACGUUGUUAAUCUCGAAGGGCAUUACAUUGUAGCAACAUGUGCCAAAGUUUGUUAGGAACAAAGUUUUUUCUUGAUCCUCCAGGUUCAUCUUGAUAUGAUUGUACCCAGAGUAAGCAUCGAGGAAACUUAUUAACUCGUUCGCAGUCGUCGUAUCGAUCAUUUGAUAGAUAUUUGGCAGUGGGAAUGAGUCUUUUGGGUACACCUUAUUUAAAUACUUGUAGUCUACGGACAUAUGAAAUUUAUUGUUCUUCUUUGGAACUAUUACUACGUUAGCUAGCUGGUUAGGAUACUUUACAUCUCAGAUUGAACUGAUAUCAAGCAAGCGAGUUACCUCUUUUUUGAUGAAUUUGAUUCUAACCUCGGCAAUAGGACAUUUUUUUUUUCUUACUAGGGGAAUGUUAGGAUCCAGACUUAGUUUGUGCACAGCCACUUCUGGCGGAUACCUCUCAUAUCCGCAUGCGACCACACAAAAUAAUCGACAUUAAAUUUAAGAAAUUCUAAAACCCAGACCUGGGCUUAGGGUGUAAUCCUGUCCCCAAGUGAUAAAAUUCUGGCAACUUUUCCCCCUGGUUGACUUCGAUCGGCUCGGGAGCAGGUGUAGGUUCCUGUAAUUUCUAUGUCGCAUGCUCCUUCCCUUUGCUACUGGAAACUGAGAUUGCAUUUAUCACCCUUGUUGCCGGUUGGUCACCCAUUAUUUGUUUAACUCCCUCGGGAGUUGGGAAUUUCAACAACUGAUGAUAUCUUGAUGGUACAGCCUUCAUCUCAUGCAACCACGACCUCCCCAAGAUAAUAUUAUAGCCCAUAUCGUCAUCCACCACCUCGAAGAGGGUCGUCUUCAUCACCCCCUCAACAUUUGCGGGAAGAAAGAUCUCUCCUCGAUUUGUCACACUUGCUAGGUUGAACCCGAUGAUCUACAUCCAAAUCGCACUCAAUAAUGAUUGGAAACAGUCGUUGGAAGAAUAGUAUCCAACAAGAGUGAGGGUCAAUUUCCACAGGGAGUUACAAUGGAUGUUAGGAGUAUACACUUGAUGAAAGCGAAUGGAUUAACUAAAUUUGCACUUCCACAAAAGGUUUGGAUUUCUACUUCUACUUUUAACUCUAACAAUUGUAAGCUAUGAAAGAAACUAGAAAUGAAUGAUUAUUUUUGGUGUUUUCCUAAUUAGUUAAAAGGCAUAGGGAUGUGACUAUGACCUAGGCAUUCACCUAAUGGGUUAAAUACAAUAAUACUUUUUUUGCUGAUUGGAGCGUAUUAUAGCUCUCAAUUCUAAGUUACCCACUCAAUACCUCUUGAUCAAAGAGUGAUUUUGCCUAAUUCGACUUUCUCAAGUUCAAAUGGGUAUUAAACAAAAUAGUUGAUAUGGGCUCAAGUCGGGUUCUCAUUAUCUCUAGUUUGAACCCUUUAACUAGGCCAAUCAAACUCUCAAUUAACCCAAUUCCUUGUUAGCCAAGUUAUCCUAGACUAGGCCCCCCUUUCCCAAGUAGAGACUAAGUCAAAAAGGCAUGAAUCAUUGUUUGCAACCAUUAAUCCUAAAAUUGAAGCAUAAACUAAACUAAAUAAUCAAUACUCAAUCAUAAACAAGCGUUAAAUUAAGUAUGCAUAAGGUUUACACACUAGGGUUGGGUCACAGCCCUAGUAAAACUCUAGCUACUCAUAGUGGAAAUUGAAGAAAAUAAAGAAGAAAUGCUAAUUAAACUCAUAAUCAAAGAUAAAAAUUAUAAAAUAUAAUGUUUAAAUACCGAAAUAGUCACAAACUUCCUAAAAUGGCAAAUGGAACGGCUACAUCAGCUCAAAUUUCGAAAGUUGACUUAAAAAUGUGAAACUCGUCUAUUUAUAGUGGCCCAAAUUCACUGACAAAAAUGCCCCUCGGGAAGUUCUACAACCACACAAUUCCAUGUGUGGUCUGCAUAUUUCUUUAGUUGGUAGGAGCUUGGAUUCUGCAGCAGCACAUUUCUGCAUUGUGACUGCGAAGUAUCUUCUGCGGCCGCACAAUUCUUGUGCGGUCCGCACUUCAGCAAGGCUUCAGGACUUGGUCUUUUGCACACUCUCUUAACUUGGAAUCAUUUGUCAGUGCAUACCCUGUUCUGCAGCAGCACAAUUCAUUUGCGAGUCCGCACAUUGGUCAAAGUCCUCUUGGGUUCGUAGACUUGGUUUGCCGUAAUUUUAGCGAGUCAAAUGUGAUCCAUUCAUACAUCAAUUGGGACCAACAAUUAUCCACACUACUCAUGAAUUAUCAACAAGUUGACAAGUCAAAUAUUUAUGCACAUAUAGUUCUAAUGUGACCAUUGAGCUUUAAGAGUUGACUUUGCUCAUCAAGGACCCUUGUUAUAUCAUGUAGGUCAUGGUGGACUCCAAACUCUUCUUCCUCUACGUUCCAUUUGCCAAGCUCAUUAGCACUCAAUCUUAGGAUUCAUGAAAGUUUCACUCGUCCCUCACAAGAGAAUGUUACAAGUACGACUUCAAGUACCAUAGGCUUUCGCCUCAUGUAGAUCACCACUAAUGUAAGUUCACUCAAUUUGAAAUCAAGUAGGACUUCUUUCGGGAUGUAAUGAAGACUUUUGGAUUAGGAUAAGAUACCAUAUGGGUAAGUGGUUACACCUUUCCUUAAUCACUCCACACUUUCAUUUCUCGCCUCUCAAUUACCAAUUCUUAGAGGCACUUUUUUUAUUGGGAACUAGAGAGACUUAAUAUUACUCUUUCUUAUUCAUUUCCUUCCUUUUCUCCCUUUUUAUUUUCUCAAUGCAAGAUCAUUGCCUCUUUUUGAAUCCAUUAACCCUUCCACUCUUUCACGUUUUGCAUUUAUUUUGUUCUUUUCUUUUCUUGUCUUCUCUUUCAUAGAGAUAAUUUCUUUUUUCUUUUUGUGCCUUGAUACCUUUUUCAAAUUCUUCAUCUCUCCCCCAAACUUAUGUUUUAAGUCAUUUGUUUCACAAGAGUGUUAAGGAAAGUCCGGGUGCCAAGAGUAGGUCAUGACAAAAUGGGUGAAGUCUUAUGACAUGGUUAUCAAAUAAGAAUGGCUACAGGCUCGAAGGGGUUGACUAGGGAUAAAGAUAUUGGUUGGCAAUAGAAAGCUCAAACUGGCCAAGGAAAUUUUACAAUCACUUCUCAAACCAAUAAAAACUUAGGAUUUUGCCUUGAAACACAUUCGGGGCAAGUUUUAGACCCUUCGCACGCGUGCGGAUACUUGAACUAACAACAAUUCAUCUUACCCCUCACGCAACUAGAUUGUAAAAGAGGAUAGAGUAAAGAGCCUACCACAACCACAUUCAAGUUUAAAUAUCAUUAUGGUACAAUGAAACCAUUCGAUGAUAACCAAAGUCAACUCAAGAGUCACAAAGUCACUAACUAGAGCUUUUUCUUUCAAAAACCUUGUCUCUAACCAUAAGCACGUAGUUAAGUGUGUUGGUACCAAUUCAAGCAUGGUUGAAUCUUCGAGCAUGACUUAAUUUGGUCUUUUUAUUUUAACUACUACUAUUAUUACCUAAACACAAAAACAGACUCAUUCCCUUAAGAAGGUUGUCACACCAUCCAUCGCUGGGACGAGUCACUCGGUUCACACAACUACCUUUAGAAAGAAUCAUGACAUUAAGAAAACCAAAGGCAUAUAAUCUACAAAAGCAUAAAAUAAAGCUACUUAUCAAAACAAGAACUAAUAUGGAAAAGAUAAAGAAGCUAAUAAGCAAAAACAAAGAUAAAGAAACUAAUAAGCAAAAACUACUAAAAAUAGAAUAAAUAUACAUAAUAAGAAAGAGAGAAGAUAGAUAAAUACAAAUAAGAAAAGAAAAGGUAUCAUCAAAUUAUUACAGACCAAGUGUAUUGAAUUGUACCAAAUGUGUCAAAUGAACUCCACCUCCCCCCCCUCCCCCCCGAAUUAAAAGAUGCAUUGUCUCUAAUGCUUAAAAAACUAAAAGUAAAAGAGGAGAGGGUGAAGAAAACUCCAUAUGGAUCCUUGGACAUCUCAUUGUCCUCAGCAAUGUCAUCUCCCUCAGGAUCAGCCAACUGAAUCUCAUCAUCCCCAAAUAUUGGCAUGGCUGGGUUGGCGAACAUCUCAUGCACUGCCUCAAUAGUGUCAGCAGCAAGGUCUGGCUCAUCAGGCUGGUCAGCUAGCGCUGCCAGUGCAGAUGGUGCUGAAGGAUCUGGGGCAGACUGGUGCGGGUCAAGCAGCAUAUCAAAGGGAAGGUCUCCGGUUGUAGCAAAUUUGGUCACCUCCUUCCCAAGCUUGUCCACUGAUUUCUUGCUGACCUGACUCAUCUUCUUUACUUCCUUUCCUAGCUCUUCAAUCACCGACCCGUGUUGUACCAAGGUACUCAUGAUUGUCUUCUACUUCUCCAAAAUCUUCUUUAGUGUCUCAACAAUUAUAGAAGGAGCCUGAGGUGCUUAAGAAGUGGACUGUGCUGCAAUAGUACUGGACAAGUUAGACAACUUUGUAGUAGCUAUUUGCAUCCAGUUGUUGAGACUCGCCAAUGUCUGGGAGACUCGUAACGCAGAUAGUGGGGUAGUCGACACGGGCACAAGCCUCAAUGCUGUGGAAGGAGCUAUAGUAGUAACUGUGGAUGACGGCGGAGGCAUAGUUGUGGCACUGGAGGAAGGCUCAACUGAGGUGGAUGGAAUAUUUACCAUAUCAGAAACUACCACUACGGGCUCAUCAGACUGGAAUGUGGUGGUAGGAGGCUGGGCUUUCUUCUUUGGGUUGCUUGCAUCCAUAAGUGGAUACCAAUCGAAUGGCUUCUCCACCUUCACCUUGGUAUCAAAAUCCCACGGCUCUUCCUUUGCAUUAGUGAGAUAUUCUGUAAUCGUGUUGGGAUAAGGAUGGGAUGAGCUAUCCUGCCGUACUAUCAAUGAGAUGUUUGCCGACAUCACAACACCCAUAUUGAUCGGGUACCCGGCCAUAAUGGAAGCCACUAGAACUGCCCGAGCAAUAGGAGGGUGAGUCUCAUUCUGGAUCGGAUCCAAUCUGAUGUAAACAAAGGUUUGCCACCUCUUCGGCUCAAAACUCAGAGUGAUCUGGUAGAUGGGAACCCCAACGACAAUCCAUGGUGGUGGUGGCCCUGGUGGUUCUAGAAUCUCAGCUAGCUAAGGACGGACUUUCCUCCUUCAGUGCACACUUCUCCAAGUACUCAUUCGGCUCAAUAUCCUCGAAGCCCAAGUACGUGUUUAGUGUAUGCUAAUCAAACCUCACCUUGAGGUUAUGUACUUUGGUCACCUUCAUCCCUUUCUUUAUAUGAGCCAUAUUGGCAUAGAUUUCGCGGACGAGGUAUUCUUUGGCAUCCUCUAUCCUUUGGGUGAACCACAUCCACCCUUUCGUGUCAUAAACUGUCUCAGUAUAGUUGGGUUAUAUUUCUCCAAGUCUUUCAGCAGAAACUGUCGCUCAAGAGUUAGCGAUCUCACUGGCCACCACAUACAAAAAUUGGUAAAGGCGCCCAGGCUAACAAAAUGAUCCUCCCAAACCUCUUUCUUCUUUGAUCUUUCAAGGCCGGAAGCUGUAGCAUCUCCCCCUCUACCAUAAUCAGGGAUAUUUGGUGUAACUUGUGCCUUAGGGACUAUUGUAGCUGAUAGCUCAGAAGCCUGACUAGCACUCUCCAAUCCGUCGGAAGUGUUGUGAGAUGAAGACGGCUCAUCCCUGAGCUGGUAUCUACCUUGCAGUCUCGACUGUGUGGUCGGUUGAUCCUCCUGAACAGAGGCAUAGUUUCUUUUGACACUUCCCUAGAUAGGACAUAUGAGCUAGACUCGGAGAGGUCUGCACCUCUCCCUCUGCCGGCUGUUGCUUUGUUUCUUAUCGUCUUUGACUGGCCAAGGGGAAAGGCAUUUUUGCCUCGACCCCGAGAAGAUUCACCUAUCCCUUUUAAAGUGUUGCCUUGUCUUCUUGAUAGAACCAUAAUUGUUAGUUGCAAUUUGAUGUUCAAACACAUAUAGGAGACAUGUGAGUAAAAAAAGAAACCAUAGGACACGCUGGGUUGUACAUUAAGUCAUGCAUGUAGGGAAAUGGACCUGCAGCCCGGACAAUUUCACUUGCGACCGUAGAUAGGGAUUUACGGACCGCAUAUUUUGACUUGCGGCCGUAGAAGUGAAGUUUGGUCCGCAUAUUUGUGAUUACGACCACAAUUAUGAAGCCCAAAAAAUGUUAGCUCUCUGAUGGUAGAGAAUUGGCUAAUAUGAGGCCACAAGAGGAUUUCUGCGGUUCGCACAAUUUGGUUUGCGGCCGCACAUUGGAGUCUCAAAGUGAGUACUCUCUGAUGACAGAGAAUGGGCUGAUCUGCGGCCACAAAUGGAAUUCAGCGGUCUGCACAUUUUAACUUGCGACUGUAGAUUCCUUCUUCAUUGAGUUGCCCAAAUUCAACAUCUGGGGACCGCAUAAAUUUAAGUGCGGCCAUAGAUUUCAAAAGUUACGUAUAGACAAAAAUUUUAUACUUAGGUUUUUCAAUUUCUCGCACAUUUUGACGUGGCAACAUUGUAAAAACAUGAAAUUGUACCUACCCAACCCCAUUAGAGCAUGUAUCAAGUUUACCCAUUUCAGAUUUACCCUACAUGGACACACAAUUGAACUCUAAUAACAAAUGGCCUAAGAACUAAAAGUCUAAAAAUUAUACCAACAUAAAAAUUUUAACAUAAAAUUGAAGCAUACCAGAUAGAAUUAGCGUAAUGAGUGAGUGAUCAAGUUGGCUGUGUAUGAGGACAGUUAGAAAUCUCCAAGAAAAUUCAACAUAUAACAGUCAGAGAAGGAAAAGUGUAAAAUGGGCCAUGUUCCUCCAUUUAUACUAACAUCUGAGAAAGGAGAAAGGCUGAGUGCGGCCACACAUUUUCAUGUGCGGUCCGCACUCAAUCACUUGGUGAGAAUUCUUAGAAUUAAAUGUGCAUCCGCAUAUUUUCAGGUGCGGUCGCAAAUUUCCAUGUGCGGUCGCAGAUCCUCCUUCGCACUGACAAGCUUAAACUUCAGAGAAUUGGUUCUUUUGACAUUUCAAAUGUGCAGUCCCCAAGAGAAUUGUGUGGCCAGAAUGCUCUUCUGUUAUGGCACAUAGAAUUGUGCGGUCCGUACAAUUUUUGAAUACUUAACCAUAUUUUCGUCUAUAAUUCCUGUAAGUCGCACUCAUCCCUGAGCACACUUCAAAUCAAGUUAGAACAAAAAUAACACCAACUACAGAAGAAAGAGGAAAAUAACAUGGGUUUUCCUCCAAGAAGCGCCUGAUUUAACGUCGUGGCAUGACACAAAAUACCCUUAAGUGAAAUAAAUGGCCGCCACGACGUGGCUAUCUCCAACAUUUCUCAAGUAGUGCUUCACCCAGUGACCAUUGACUCGAAAUAAUUCAUUAUUUUUUCUCUUAAAGUCUAAUGCACCAAAAGGUGUCACACCCAUAGUUUCAAUAUGACCACUCCAUUUAGAUUUUAACUUCCCGAAAACAUCCUCAAUCUGGAGUUAAACAAUAAUACGAGAUCUCCUACCUUGAACUCUUUGUUCCAAAUGUAUUUGUCUUGACGAUAUUUUAUCUUUUAUUUGUACAAGGAUGAACUUGUAUAAGCACGGUACCAGAACUCAUCCAAUUCAUUCAAGUGUGCAACACUCAAGUUAGCGGCUACUUCCCAAUCAAGAUUCAACUUCUUUAGAGCCUACAUGGCCUUGUGCUCUAGCUCCACCGGAAGAUGACAAGAUUUUUCGAACACUAACCGGUAUGGUGACAUUCCGAUAGGUGUUUUACAAGUCGUCCAAUAAGCCCAUAAUGCAUUAUCAAGCUUCUUGGACCAAUUCGUCCGAUUAGCAUUCACCGUUUUAAACAAGAUACUCUUUAUUUCCUAGUUGGAGAUUUCCACUUGCCCACUAGCAUGUGGGUGAUAGGGAGUCGUGAUUUUGUGAGUAACACCAUACUUGCUAAGUAAAGUGUUGAACGCCUUGUUGCAAACAUGUGACCCCCCAUCGCUUAUAAUUGCACGUGGAGUACCAAACCUUGUGAAAAUAUUCUUCUUCAAGAAAGUCACCAUAGUUCUCGCCUCAUUGUUGGGUAAAGCUAUGGCCUCAACCCAUUUGGACACAUAAUCAACCGCGACCAAGAUGUAGGUGUUUCCAUAAGAACUGACAAAAGGUCUCAUGAAGUCAAUACCCCACAUAUUAAAAAUUCAAUCUCCAAAAUGGUUGUGAGAGGCAUUUCAUUUUUCUUUAAGAUUCCACCGGCCCGUUGACAUUCAUCACAUCUUUUAACUAAUUCACUUACAUCCUUGUAAAGAGUGGGCCAAUAGAAGCCACAACUAAGCACUUUGGCGGCCGUUCUCGCUCCACCAUGAUGACCACCAUAUGUCGAAGAAUGACAAGCCUCAAUAAUUUCACUUUGCUAUUCUUCCUGUACACAUCUUCUAAUCACCCCAUCUGUACAAAUCCGGAAAAGGUAUGGUUGAUACCAAUAGUAAUCUUGACAGUCUCGUUUGAGUUUCUCCAUUUGUCUUGAAGAGAACUCAUCGAGAAUGAUUCCACACACAAGAAAAUUUGCUAGAUCCGCGAACCAUGACACUUCUUUCAUUGAAAUUGCCAAGAGUUGCUCAUCAGAGAAAGAGUCAUUGAUUUCAAGGCCAUCAUGCAACCUCCCCUCAUCCUCCAAAUAAGACAAGUGGUCCACCACUUGGUUUUCACUACCUUUUCUAUCUUGGAUGCCAAUAUCAAAUUCUUGCAACAAUAAUACCCAUCUCAUCAAUCAAGCUUUAGAGUCCUUUUUGCUUAUAAGAUAACGAAGCACCGCAUGAUCUGUGUAGACAAUGACUUUUGCACCCAUCAAGUACAGGCGAAACUUCUCAAUUGAAAACACAAUAACAAUGAGCUCUUUCUCCGUGACGGUAUAGUUGACUUGCGCACUAUUCAUGGUCUUACUAGCAUAGCAGACCGGAUAAAAAAUCUUGAUGAUGUGUUACCCCAAAAUAUCCCCAACCGCUACUUCAAUGGCAUUACACAUGAGUUCAAAAGGCGCACUCCAAUUUGGAGCAGUGAUGAUGGGAGUAUUUGUCAACUUGAGCUUCAACAAUUCAAAAGCUUUCAUGAAAUCAUCAUUGACGUUAAACUUAGCAUCCUCUCAAGAAGCUUGCACAACAGGUUAACCAGCUUAGAGAAAUCUUUGAUGAAACACUGGUAAAUACCCGUGUGGCCUAAAAACCUCCGCACACCCUUUACCGUAGUUGGAGGUGGAAGUUUGGAAAUUACCUAAAUCUUUUCCUUGUCAACUUCAUUUCCAUUCUUUCAGAAUUUGUGGCCAAAGACAAUGUCUUUCUCGACCAUGAAAUGCUAUUUCUCCCAAUUGAGCACCAAAUUGGAUUAUUCACAUCUAGCCAACCCUUUGUCCAAUUUUGCAAGACAAUCAUUAAAAGAAUCUCCAACCACCAAGAAGUUAUCCAUGAAAACUUCAACGUAGCCCUCCACUAUAUCCAUAAAAAUAGCCAUCAUACACCUUUGAAAAGUCGUCGGUGCAUUACACAAACCAAAUGGAAUCCAUUUGAACGUGAAAGUACCAUAGGGAUAUGCAAAGGUUGUUUUCUCUAGAUCUUCCAAAGCAAUGAGAAUUUAGUUGUAGCCCGAGUACUUAUCAAGAAAGCAAUAGAAAGCACAUCCAGUCAAUCUAUCGAGCAUUUUAUCUAAGAAAGGAAGUAGAAAGUGAUCUUUCUUUGUGACUUUAUUGAGCUUUCGAUAAUCCAUACACACGCUCCAAUCGGUCACCGUUCUUAUAGAAAUCAAUUCAUUCUUGUCAUUGGUGACCACCGUCAUGCCCCCUUCUUCGAGACACAUUGAACCGGAGAGGUCCACGAAAUAUCGGAGAUGGGGUAGAUACCCUAGCAUCCAACCACUUGAUAAUAUCCUUUUUGACAACUUCUUGCAUAGCCUCAUUGAGUCUCAUUUGAUGUUCAGUGGAUGGUUUGGUUCAAUCAUCCAAUUUAAUCUUAUGCAUGAAAAAGGCGGGGCUUAUCCCCUGAAUAUUUGUCAAGGUCCACCCAAUAGCCUUCUUUCACUUUUAUAGCACCACCAAUGUGAAAUCUACCUGCACGUUAGUCAAACAAGAGGAAAGAAUAACCGGUAAAUUAUAACAAGGAUCAAGGAAUUCAUACUGAAGAUGUAGAGGCAAUGGCUUCAACUUCAAGGUAGGAGGCUCUUCAAUAGAACGCUUCGUAGGAGGAGUUGUCCUAUUUUCAAGAUCCAAGGACAAUUUUCGGGGUGCAUAAUUAUAUGACCCCACUCUUUGAAAAGAGUUCACAUAUUCCAUGAGGCCAUCUAUCUCGUCAUCAUCAAAGUUGAGCAAGACGGCCUCCAACAUAUUACCAACAUUAAUUGUAGCACUUGUUUCAUCAAUAAUAACAUCAGUCACCAAGUCCACAAAAGAGCACACCUCUUUGUUAUUUGGUUGCUGCAUAGACUUAUACAUAUGGAACACCACUUUUUCAUCACCAACCCGGAAGGUUAGUUCUCCGGCUUCAACAUCACAAAGAGCCUUCCCCGUAGCAAGGAAAGGUCUCCCAAGAAUAAUUGACACUUCAUAAUAAACCUCACAAUCUAGAAUGACAAAAUUCACUGGGAGAAUGAAUUUAUCAACAUGAACCAGACAUCUUCCAAGGGUCUCUUCAUAGUACGAUUGGUCAUUUGCAAUCUCAUAGAGGUGGGUCUUGAAAAUUGAAUAGGGCAUCAAAUACAUACUUGCCCAAGAUCACAAAGAGAAUUAGCAAACUCGGCACUUCCAAUUGUACAAGGAAUCGUGAAAGCACUGAGAUCCUUCAACUUAUGAGCCAUUGAAUGCACAAUUGCAUUCACUUGAUGAGUGACAUGAUGGUCUCAAAAUUCAUAGACCGCUUCUUUGUUACAAGAUCCUUUAUAGAUUUUGCAUAAGCGGGCAUUUGUUCCGAAGCUUCAACUAUUGGCACAUUGAUUGAGAGACUCUUCAUAAUUUGAAUGAAUUUCUUGAAUUGAUUCUCACCAUUUUGCUUGGCAAGUCUUUGAGGGUAUGGAGGUGGAGGCUUAGGCAAUGGUGUCUUAGCCUUUUGCACUGACGGCACCAGUAUGUCAAUAAUGUGUUCCCUAGACGGGUUCACCUCCUCUUGAGUCUCUUCCACAUUAUAAUCAAUGUCAAUCCGAACAUCAUCAUUAGGUUGCACCAUAUUUUUUGGGAUCUCCUCUUCUUGCAACACUUGAUCAUCAUCAAUAAGUUGCCCUUGACUUGAGGUGGGUGCAUUCCCACCUCUCCCACUUCUUGUGGUAAUGGCCAUGGCAUGCCCCGGGUUGUUACCACCCUUUGGGUUUACCACCAUGUCACUUGGUAGUGCCCCCUUAGGGCGAGAGUUUAGAGCUUGAGAGAUUUGCCACAUUUGAACUUCUAUGUUGCGGAUUGAUGUGUUGUGUUAGGCAAGUUGGGCAUCCAAAUUGGCAUUCUUUUCCAUCAUUUACUUAAACAUAUUUUCAAUGAAACCCAUCUCAUUGUUUGAAGAACUUAGACCGUGAGAAGGAUAAGGAGGCGGGUUGCUCGAUUGUUGGUACAUCGGGGGACUUUGAAAACCCGACCCCCGAUUGACUUAAUUUUUGCUCUAUAUGCCUUGAUUGAUAUCCCCCCCCCCAAUUUCCCUGAUUAUUUCUACUCCAAUUUCCUUGAUUGUUGUAUCCGUCUAAUUUCCUUAAUUGUUAGAAUUCCAAUCAUGGAUCCACAAUUAAUCCUUAGGAGCGACAAGAAAUGAAUCCUAAUUUUAGGAUGACUGGCCCUUUUAAUCAUUGACUUGAUUGUUUUGAGGUUGCCAUUAUUGUUGGUUUGGGCCUUAGAAGUUGUUUCUUUACCCUUGAAAAUUAUUCACAUUUUACACUUGCUCUUCUUGUUCAUUAUAUGAAUCAUCUUGCUCAAAGCCAUUAUCUUCUUGUACAUAGUUCUCUACUCGAGUUUGCACUUGUUGGCCUUUAGCCCUCCUCUUGUUCCCCAUCAUGUUCACCACUUCCAUGGCAUUGACUUUCUUAGGAGCUUGUACUUUACUAAGUUGAGCCUUUGCUAGUUGAUUCAUGGUAGUAGUCAAUUCGGUAAUUGCUUGCCCAUGGUCAUCCAAUUCUUUAUGAAGGUAGAUCAUAUUCGGAUUACCUUGUUGAACAUUGGCUCGGGAUUACCAAGCCGAUGAUAUUUCCGCCAUUUCAUCCAAAAUCUCACAUGCCUCCGCAUAAGGCGUAGUCAUAAAGUUCCCACCGGCAAGUUGAUUCACUACACAUUAGUUGGUUGAUUUAAUCCCACCAUAGAAGGUUUAUUGAAUCAUGUUUUCCGUUAUAUCUUUGUUGGGACAUUCCUUAACCAUUGUUCUAUAUCGCUCCAAUAUCUUGUGUAGUGGUUCAUUUGGAUGUUGCUUGAAUGCCAAAAUCUCCUCUCGAAGUGUAGCCAUGUACCUGGGAGAGAAGAACUUAGCAAUGGAUUUUUCCGCCAACUCAUCCUAAGUGUGAAUGGAAUGGUUCGGUAAUCGUUCCAACCAAUCUAAAGCUUUCCCUAGUAGAGAGAAACAAAAAUGCCUUAGCCUUAGCAAAAUGUAACGGCUACAACAGCUCAAAAUUCGACACUUAACCUAAAAAUGUGAAACUCGUCUAUUUAUAGUGGCCCAAAUUCGCUGACAAAAAUGCCCGUCGGGAGGUUCUACGGCCGCACAAUUCCAUGUGCGGUCCCCAGAUUUCUUCAGUUGGCAGGAGCUUGGAUUCUGUAGCCGUACAUUUCUGGAUUGCGGCUGCAAAGCAUCUUCUGCGGCCGCACAAUUCUUGUGCAGUCUGCACUUUCGCAAAGCUUCAGGACUUGGUCUUUUGCACACUCUCUGAACUUGGAAUCAUUCGUCAGUGCAGACCCUGUUCAGCGGCCGCACAAUUCAUUUGAUAUCUGCACAUUGGCUAUGUCACACCUCCUUUUUCUAUCCCAAGAGGGGUAUAGGAGAGUUUUUCCAAUUAAGGUGACAAUAAUCGAAACGAGAUUAUUUAUUCAAAUUCAGAGUCGCCACUUGGAAUAAUUAUGAUGUCCCAAGUCAUCGGUUUAUUUAAAUCCCAAAUCGAGAAAAAUGACUCUAUUUAUGGUCCGCGAACACAGAAGACCGGGUAAGGAAUUCUGUUAACCCGGGAGAAAGUGUUAGACAUUCCCGGGUUCCUUGGUUUUAGUGCGGUCGCUCAACUAUUAUUAAUUGGCCUAAUUAUCUUAUUAAUUACAUGUUUUAAACCUAUUGUGCAUUUUAACUGUAUAUCCAUUUUUAUUUAUAUAUGGAAUCAUUUAAAGAACAAGUUACGAUUGUCGUACACUUAUCAUUUUGGUACAUGUUGUGAAUCGUAUCAUGGGAACCAUACCCACAAUUUACAACACGUGUUUAUUUUAUUAGUAUUUGAAGUUAUGGUCGGGUCACAUGAAAUGUACACCCGAAUUGAGAUUUACGUAUCGUGACCAUGUCACAGGAAUCGUACCCAUGGACACAAUAAUUUAUUAAUCGCGCCUAAAGCAAGCUACAAUAUUUGUAAUUCUUUUCCUAAGUUAGGGAUUGUGGUGAAGGUGAUGAAUUAUGGAUUAAAUUAAAGUUGUGGAGGAAAUUGGGACACCUCACGUUGUUGGGCCAUCGGUAUUAGCCCAAUUUUACUAAAUCAAACAGCCCUACAUUCCAGUGGUUUUGGUCAACUUGAAAUGAAAAUUCUCUUAGCUUCACACUUAACAUAACAACGAGACUAAUCAACUUUUAAUAAUAAAUAAUUGUUAUCUUAAUAAAUGAUCAAUGAAACAUGAUAAGGUUUACUGCAAUACAUGAAUAUGCCAUGAGACACAAUGAGAAUAUAAACAUUUACUCAAAUGUCAUCUAAAUAAAAUACAAUGAACAAAUGUAUCAAAAAUAACCAUCAAAUAGAAAUAGAAAAUUUGGAACUUUUUAGCGCAGUAAGGAAAACUUUCAUUCAAUAUUAAUGGGAUAAAACUCCAACCAAAAAUCGUACAGAAUGACUAACCGAGGUAUCACAGCUUAGAAAUCGGCAACAAAAUUUCAGCCGAAAAAGGGACCACGACCUGAGCUCCAGCAACCUCAACCAAAGGGAGUUUCUCAACAACGAACUCGACGGCGCCUUCGAAUCGAACGGACCUCUCAAUACAAAGCAAAUUUUAAUCUGAAAAUGCUUAGCACCAGAAAUCUUAGACAGCGACAACCUCGACGGAAGCCCAAAAAAUAGAACACCCACCUCGACUCCGAAUCGCACUCAAAACCACUCCGUCUCCGUAACUCCCACUCUCUAUUUCGAUCUUCUUCUUUUGAGACGGGAACAAAUAAUACACUGAUUUUUUUAUCUGAACCUUUUGCUGAAGCAGAAGAUGAAUGGCAGUCAAUGCAAAGACCAAGGUCAGGUUGUUUCUAUAGACGAAGACGGAGGCAGAGGCAGCAAACCAUCAGCAAGGUUAUUGGUUACCAGAAAAGAACUCUGCUUCUGAGGUUGAUCAUUCCAAACUGAAGAAUAACUAUUAUGCUAGUAAAUAUCAUGUUUUAAAGAAACAUACAUCACCAGGAAGUUAUGCAAAUGAUUACAUAGCAAAACAAAUCAAUCUCCUAGUACUACUUUGCCGUUUUUUGUUUGUAUGUGUGCUCCUCUGUAUAUGUGUUUGUGUGUAGCUUUUUCUUUGUGUGUGAAGUUCAAGACCUCCAAAUGAGAGUGAUGGCUUUAGCUGCCAUUUUUUUUGUUUCGUCUAG
rnacentral:lncRNA from 1 species